GAUGAACGCUGGCGGCGUGCCUAAUACAUGCAAGUCGAGCGGUAAGGCCUCUUCGGAGGUACACGAGCGGCGGACGGCUGAGUAACGCGUAGGAACAUACCCCAAAGUGAGGGAUAAGCACUGGAAACAGUGUCUAAUACCGCAUGUGAUCUUCGGAUUAAAGCUACGGCGCUUUGGGAAUGGCCUGCGUAAGAUUAGCUUGUUGGUGAGGUAAUGGCUCACCAAGGCGACGAUCUUUAGCUGGUCUGAGAGGAUGAUCAGCCAGACUGGGACUGAGACACGGCCCAGACUCCUACGGGAGGCAGCAGUAGGGAAUGUUCCACAAUGGGGGCAACCCUGAUGGAGCAACGCCGCGUGCAGGAUGAAUGCCUUCGGGUUGUAAACUGCUUUUAUAUGUGACGAAUAUGACGGUAGCAUAUGAAUAAGGAUCGGCUAACUCCGUGCCAGCCGCCGCGGUAA
rnacentral:rRNA from 1 species